AAAAAAGCCGGAAUAGCUCA
rnacentral:tRNA from 2 species